rnacentral:rRNA from 1 species
UACGAAGGGGGCUAGCGUUGCUCGGAAUCACUGGGCGUAAAGGGCGCGUAGGCGGACUCUUAAGUCGGGGGUGAAAGCCCAGGGCUCAACCCUGGAAUUGCCUUCGAUACUGAGAGUCUUGAGUUCGGAAGAGGUUGGUGGAACUGCGAGUGUAGAGGUGAAAUUCGUAGAUAUUCGGAAGAACACCAGUGGCGAAGGCGGCUCACUGGCUCGGAACUGACGCUGAGGUGCGAAAGCGUGGGGAGCAAACAGG